rnacentral:rRNA from 1 species
CGGACCGGCGCACGGUGAGUAACGCGUAUGCAACUUACCUAUCAGAGGGGGAUAACCCGGCGAAAGUCGGACUAAUACCGCAUGAAGCAGGGGCCCCGCAUGGGGAUAUUUGCUAAAGAUUCAUCGCUGAUAGAUAGGCAUGCGUUCCAUUAGGCAGUUGGCGGGGUAACGGCCCACCAAACCGACGAUGGAUAGGGGUUCUGAGAGGAAGGUCCCCCACAUUGGUACUGAGACACGGACCAA